rnacentral:rRNA from 1 species
UUUAUGCACGUGGUAGGAGAGCGUUCUAGCGGCGGUGAAGCAUGACCGAGAGGACAUGUGGAGCUUCUAGAAGUGAGAAUGCCGGUAUGAGUAACGAAAGACAGGUGAGAAUCCUGUCCGCCGCAAGACUAAGGUUUCCUGGGGCAGGCUCGUCCGCCCAGGGUAAGUCGGGACCUAAGGCGAGGCCGAGAGGCGUAGUCGAUGGACAACAGGUUGAAAUUCCUGUACUGCACCGAAUCGUUAUGAGCGAUGGAGGGACGCAGGAGGCUAGCAGCGCGUGGUGCUGGAUACCACGUUCAAGCGUCAAGUCUGAGAGUGAGUCAAAUGCUUGCUCUCAUAAGGACAAGGCGUGAUGAGGAGCGAAAUUAAAGUAGCGAAGGCUGCGACGUCACACUGCCGAGAAAAGCUUCUAGCCAGAGACGGUGCACCCGUACCGCAAACCGACACAGGUAGUCGAGGAGAGUAUCCUCAGGUGAGCGAGAGAACUCUCGUUAAGGAACUCGGCAAAAUGGCCCCGUAACUUCGGGAGAAGGGGCGCUGGUCGCAAGAUCAGCCGCAGUGAAAAGGCCCAAGCAACUGUUUAUCAAAAACACAGGCAUCUGCAAAAUCGUAAGAUGAAGUAUAGGUGCUGACACCUGCCCGGUGCUGGAAGGUUAAGAGGAGAGCUUAGCGCAAGCGAAGGUUUGAAUUGAAGCCCCAGUAAACGGCGGCCGUAACUAUAACGGUCCUAAGGUAGCGAAAUUCCUUGUCGGGUAAGUUCCGACCUGCACGAAAGGUGUAAUGAUUUGGGCACUGUCUCAACGAGAGACUCGGUGAAAUUAUAAUACCCGUGAAGAUGCGGGUUACCCGCGACAGGACGGAAAGACCCCAUGGAGCUUUACUGCAGUUUAAUAUUGGGUAUCUGUCAAGCAUGUACAGGAUAGGUAGGAGCCGGAGAAGAUAGGACGCCAGUCUUAUCAGAGGCGCUGUUGGGAUACUACCCUUGCUUGACGGAUGCUCUAACUCAGGUCUGUGAUCCAGGCCGAGGACAGUGUUUGACGGGCAGUUUGACUGGGGCGGUCGCCUCCUAAAGUGUAACGGAGGCGCCCAAAGGUUCCCUCAGAAUGGUUGGAAAUCAUUCGCAGAGUGUAAAGGUAAAAGGGAGCUUGACUGCGAGAGAGACAACUCGAGCAGGUACGAAAGUAGGGCUUAGUGAUCUGGUGGUACCGUAUGGAAGGGCCAUCACUCAACGGAUAAAAGCUACCCUGGGGAUAACAGGCUUAUCUCCCCCAAGAGUUCACAUCGACGGGGAGGUUUGGCACCUCGAUGUCGGCUCGUCGCAUCCUGGGGCUGAAGUCGGUCCCAAGGGUUGGGCUGUUCGCCCAUUAAAGCGGCACGCGAGCUGGGUUCAGAACGUCGUGAGACAGUUCGGUCCCUAUCCGUCGUGGGCGUAGGAAAUUUGAGAGGAGCUGUCCUUAGUACGAGAGGACCGGGAUGGACGCACCGCUGGUGUACCAGUUGUCUUGCCAAAGGCAUCGCUGGGUAGCUAUGUGCGGACGGGAUAAGCGCUGAAAGCAUCUAAGUGCGAAGCCCCCCUCAAGAUGAGAUUUCCCAUUUCUUCAAGAAAGUAAGACACCUCAGAGACGAUGAGGUAGAUAGGCCGGGAGUGGAAGAGCCGUGAGGCUUGGAGCGGACCGGUACUAAUCAGUC